rnacentral:rRNA from 1 species
UACGUAGGGUGCAAGUGUUAAUCGGAAUUACUGGGCGUAAAGCGUGCGCAGGCGGUUUUAUAAGACAGAUGUGAAAUCCCCGGGCUCAACCUGGGAACUGCAUUUGUGACUGUAGAGCUGGAGUGCGGCAGAGGGGGAUGGAAUUCCGCGUGUAGCAGUGAAAUGCGUAGAUAUGCGGAGGAACACCGAUGGCGAAGGCAAUCCCCUGGGCCUGCACUGACGCUCAUGCACGAAAGCGUGGGGAGCAAACAGG